rnacentral:rRNA from 1 species
UACGGGGGGGGUAAGCGUUGUUCGGAAUUACUGGGCGUAAAGGGCUCGUAGGUGGCCAACUAAGUCAGACGUGAAAUCCCUCGGCUUAACCGGGGAACUGCGUCUGAUACUGGAUGGCUUGAGUUCGGGAGAGGGAUGCGGAAUUCCAGGUGUAGCGGUGAAAUGCGUAGAUAUCUGGAGGAACACCGGUGGCGAAGGCGGCAUCCUGGACCGACACUGACACUGAGGAGCGAAAGCCAGGGGAGCAAACGGG